rnacentral:rRNA from 1 species
UGGGGAAUUUUGGACAAUGGGCGAAAGCCUGAUCCAGCAAUGCCGCGUGUGUGAAGAAGGCCUUCGGGUUGUAAAGCACUUUUGUCCGGAAAGAAAUCCUUGGCUCUAAUACAGUCGGGGGAUGACGGUACCGGAAGAAUAAGCACCGGCUAACUACGUGCCAGCAGCCGCGGUAAUACGUAGGGUGCAAGCGUUAAUCGGAAUUACUGGGCGUAAAGCGUGCGCAGGCGGUUUGCUAAGACCGAUGUGAAAUCCCCGGGCUCAACCUGGGAACUGCAUUGGUGACUGGCAGGCUAGAGUAUGGCAGAGGGGGGUAGAAUUCCACGUGUAGCAGUGAAAUGCGUAGAGAUGUGGAGGAAUACCGAUGGCGAAGGCAGCCCCCUGGGGCCAAUACUGACGCUCAUGCACGAAAGCGUGGGGAGCAAACAGGAUUAGAUACCCUGGUAGUCCACGCCCUAAACGAUGUCAACUAGUUGUUGGGGACUUCAUUUCCUUAGUAACGUAGCUAACGCGUGAAGUUGACCGCCUGGGGAGUACGGUCGCAAGAUUAAAACUCAAUGAAUUGACGGGGUCAUAGCUGUUUCCU